ACGGAAGGCAGCAGUGGGGAAUAUUGCACAAUGGGCGCAAGCCUGAUGCAGCGAUGCCGCGUGAGGGAAGAAGGUUUUCGGAUUGUAAACCUCUGUCAACAGGGACGAAAAUGACGGUACCUGUGAAGGAAGCUCCGGCUAACUACGUGCCAGCAGCCGCGGUAAUACGUAGGGAGCAAGCGUUAUCCGGAUUUACUGGGUGUAAAGGGCGUGUAGGCGGCUCUGCAAGUCAGAAGUGAAAUUCCCGGGCUCAACCUGGGCGCUGCUUCUGAAACUGCAGAACUUGAGUACUGGAGGGGAAAGCGGAAUUCCUAGUGUAGCGGUAAAAUGCGCAGAUAUUAGGAGGAACACCGGUGGCGAAGGCGGCUUUCUGGACAGUAACUGACGCUGAGGCGCGAAAGCGUGGGGAGCAAACAGGAUUAGAUACCCUGGUA
rnacentral:rRNA from 1 species